CGUAGGGUCCGAGCGUUGUCCGGAAUUAUUGGGCGUAAAGGGCUCGUAGGCGGUUUGUCGCGUCGGGAGUGAAAACUCAGGGCUCAACCCUGAGCGUGCUUCCGAUACGGGCAGACUAGAAGUAUGCAGGGGAGAACGGAAUUCCUGGUGUAGCGGUGGAAUGCGCAGAUAUCAGGAGGAACACCGGUGGCGAAGGCGGUUCUCUGGGCAUUACCUGACGCUGAGGAGCGAAAGCAUGGGGAGCGAACAGGAUUAGAUACCCUGGUAGUCCAUGCCGUAAACGUUGGGCGCUAGGUGUGGGGUCCUUCCACGGAUUCCGUGCCGCAGCUAACGCAUUAAGCGCCCCGCCUGGGGAGUACGGCCGCAAGGCUA
rnacentral:rRNA from 1 species